AUUGAACGCUGGCGGAAUGCUUUACACAUGCAAGUCGAACGGCAGCGCGGGUGCUUGCACCUGGCGGCGAGUGGCGAACGGGUGAGUAAUACAUCGGAACGUGCCCAGUAAUGGGGGAUAACUAACCGAAAGGUUGGCUAAUACCGCAUACGCCCUGAGGGGGAAAGCGGGGGAUCGAAAGACCUCGCGUUAUUGGAGCGGCCGAUGUCUGAUUAGCUAGUUGGUAGGGUAAAGGCCUACCAAGGCGACGAUCAGUAGCUGGUCUGAGAGGAUGAUUAGCCAGACUGGGACUGAGACACGGCCCAGCCUCCUACGGAAGGCAGCAGUGGGGGAUUUUGGACAAUGGGGGAAACCCUGAUCCAGCCAUUCCGCGUGAGUGAAGAAGGCCUUCGGGUCGUAAAGCUCUUUCGGCAGGAACGAAACGCUCUGGACUAAUACUCCGGGGUAAUGACGGUACCUGAAGAAGAAGCACCGGCUAACUACGUGCCAGCCGCCGCAGUAA
rnacentral:rRNA from 1 species